CUUUUACCUCAACUUCGCUUUUCCGUUGUGUCAACUCCAACGACCGUCAAAUGCAUCCCUUCAACCCAGUUUUCGAUUGCUACUGCUGCUAAUGCAGGGUGUGAAUCCACCAGUGGUUGAAGUUCGCGCCACGUCAGCUUGUGCCCGUCGUCGUCGUGAUCUGGAACAUCUUUUAGCCGACGCUGAUUUAGCUAAGGCAUCCAUCGAACCCGCUCAACCAAUCGCCCUCGAAGUGUCUGCUGUUGAACCUGCUGCCGGUGGCUGAUGCGAAGGAAGCGAGUUUCAACCGAACCUGAAAUUGAAUCUUCGCAAUUGAUGAAUCUGUACCGCCUGAAGUCGUACAAGAUGAUCCUACAAAGAAGAUAGGGGCUUGCUUAAUCUGAGCCUCACGACAACCAUAUCGGUGACCGCAGUAACUACGGUGUUCUCUUUCGUUGGCGCUACUAUGAAAAACACUGCCAGUAUCGCAGCUGAUGGCGCGCUGCAAUGCUCUUCCAUCCGGAUUUUUAGUCUGCUAAAAAAUUUUCGAAUAAAGAUCCACCGACUUUUGCUGCGUUUUGCUUUCCAAACCAAGGCGAUUUUCCCCCGUAAUUAUUUGUUUGCUCCAUUUAAUUUAUAUCGACAUGAUUAACCGAUUACGAUGGUAGUGUGUAAUAAUCAGUUAGAGAUUAUCAGAAUACAUGAUUUCAAUAAAAUU